GCUACUUCUCGCUAAUUCCCCUUUGUUGUUGGUGCUUCCUUUGUUCUUGCUGCUCCCGCGCGCUAAUCUUCUUCUCCAUCUUCUCUGCUCUGCCCAAUAUUCAAUUUCUCUUCAAUUUGCAGUUAAACACUCGCACCAAUCUCGCAAUUAUCUUCACUCUACCUGCAAUGACCUUGACAAGAAGAACCACCAUUGCGCAGUUCUCUCCACUCGACCGGCAAUGACUUCAAUGGAGUUCGAUUUGGGGUUUUUCUUGGCCAUACAGUGAGAUCAACAGCAGAUAUUGCUCUGAGUCUGGUGGUGAAUGCUUGGCCAAGUCAAGGAGAUUGGUGAAGGUAAAAUUAUAAGCACGUAUACGAGAGACGAAGCUUUUUAGUGCAGCUGAGAAAGGACACCUUGAUGUGGUAAAAUAGCUGCUGAAGUAUGCCAAUAAGGAUACACUCACUCAGAAGAAUCACUCAUAGUUUGAUCCUUUGCAUGUUGCUGUUAAUCAGGGACACCUGCAAUCGUCCAAGUGUAAUUAGACCAUGAUGCAGAUGCAACCAUUAUUAUGCGAACAGACAAGUUUGGUAAUACAGCUUUGCAUGUGGCUACCAGAAAAAAGCGGGAAGAGGAAGGGUUGGAAACUUGUGAUGACCUACAACUUGAAGUGAUCCUCUCACGAAUAAAGAAUAAUCUGAAUGCACUGAAGAAGUAUACAUAUGAAAAGCAUAUUGUUGCUCGUAGAGGAGAUUCAGUUUGCAGACUCCCUACCCUGUUUUCAAUGGCGUAGAAGAGAAAGGUGUUGUACAACUAACCGAGGCUAGUUUGAAUGUGGCUCUCUACCCUUUUCUUUGUUUUAUGCCUGUUGUGGCUCCUGUCUAUUUAUUUGUCUUGUUCUUUAGCUGAAAAAUUUAUUUAAAAACCUUCGACUCGUGAAGACCCUGCAUCUGUAGUUAGUCUGAAUUUGCUUCCCUUUUAACUUUCAGCCUAUCUUUUUAUAUUAUGUUAUAGAUGACACAUGUGCUAUCACCCGUAGAUUGAGGGAAGAUGGGAGUCUUAUUGGUGUGCUGAGCACAUAAGAAACAAAAUCAGACAACCAACGACUCUUAGAAAUGGCUCGUUCUAGGACAUUGUCGGUGUUGAUUUGAUAAGUGGUGUUUCUUGCCAAGCACCUAAUGAAGGGGUCAACAAAAGUGAUGGUGAAUGGGAAUUUAAUACAAACGGCAGUAGGUCUGUACUGGGGAAACUUUUAAGUUUGUGUCAAGGGCAUUCAGUUGAGAGGACAUGCAACAUGAUAAAAGAUGUGAGGCUCUGCUACGAACCAGGUCAAAAGUCUACAGGCAGUUCAGGAGUGGCACCUGAUGCAAUGUUUUCAAAACUCCAAGGGAGGGGCCAUUUACCAAAGAGGAGUUGGAUGAAGUUCGAGACAAGUGGGCUACUUACUUCAACGAUUGUGAACUACCCUCAGUGUAAUAAAUAGAGCAGGCUUGUAGUUAUCCGUGACUCUUACCUUAUUUUGUUAUUUAUGGAUUUAAUUAAUUACAUUUGAAUUAAUUCGGUAAUAUUAUUGGAAAUUUAUAUAAUUUUUGAGGAAUGUCAAGCUGAUGUUUGGUGAAACA